UACGAAGGGUGCUAGCGUUGUUCGGAAUUACUGGGCGUAAAGGGCGCGUAGGCGGCUAUAUAAGUUAGAUGUGAAAGCCUUGGGCUUAACCUGAGAACUGCAUUUAAUACUGUAUAGCUAGAGGUCGAGAGAGGAUAGUGGAAUUACUAGUGGAGAGGUGAAAUUCGUAGAUAUUAGUAAGAACACCAGUGGCGAAGGCAGCUAUCUGGCUCGAAUCUGACGCUGAGGCGCGAAAGCGUGGGGAGCAAACAGGAUUAGAUACCCGUGUAGU
rnacentral:rRNA from 1 species